rnacentral:lncRNA from 10 species
ACGGAGAUCUCGCUCCUGUGCUUCCCAGCACUUGCCAGCCUCAGUACUGGCAGGAUGUCACAGAGAAAGUGCGGGAUGAUCGGGUGGCUGCGAAAAGAUAAAGAACCAGAGCUCUGAGGGUUUAAACGACCUAUGCAAGAUCACAAAGUCAGUGAACAGCAGAACCAGAAUUGUAAUUUUGAGCCUGAGGUAUCAACCACAUACUUACUAUAUGUCUUGUGAGGCCAAUAGCCUCACUCUACACUUUUGGGAGAUGAACUUGCAUGUAGUCAGUUUGGACAGAAGGAGUAUCUGAGUUCAUUAGUCCUCUCUACUUUCGUCCAUAAAUCUUCAUGACAUUUUGGGCUGGCUGAUUAAAAAGGAAAAAAAAACUUUUCAGAUGUCCACACCACCAA